rnacentral:rRNA from 1 species
ACCAGACUCCUACGGGAGGCAGCAGUGGGGAAUAUUGCACAAUGGGGGAAACCCUGAUGCAGCGACGCCGCGUGAGUGAAGAAGUAUCUCGGUAUGUAAAGCUCUAUCAGCAGGGAAGAAAAUGACGGUACCUGACUAAGAAGCCCCGGCUAACUACGUGCCAGCAGCCGCGGUAAUACGUAGGGGGCAAGCGUUAUCCGGAUUUACUGGGUGUAAAGGGGGCGCAGACGGCGAUGCAAGCCAGGAGUGAGAGCCCGGGGCCCAACCCCGGGACUGCUCUUGGAAAUGCGUGGCUGGAGUGCAGGAGUGGCAGGCGGAAUUCCUGGUGUAGCGGUGAAAUGCGUAGAUAUCAGGAGGAGCACCGGUGGCGAAGGCGGCCUGCUGGACAGCAACUG